rnacentral:rRNA from 1 species
UACGUAAGUGGCAAGCGUUAUCCGGAUUUAUUGGGCGUAAAGGGAACGCAGGCGGUCUUUUAAGUCUGAUGUGAAAGCCUUCGGCUUAACCGGAGUAGUGCAUUGGAAACUGGGAGACUUGAGUGCAGAAGAGGAGAGUGGAACUCCAUGUGUAGCGGUGAAAUGCGUAGAUAUAUGGAAGAACACCAGUGGCGAAAGCGGCUCUCUGGUCUGUAACUGACGCUGAGGUUCGAAAGCGUGGGUAGCAAACAGG